CUCUUGACUUCUUUACCACUGAAAUGGACUGGAAUUUAAUUCAUUGUCUGUCUGUCAAAACCUAUUGCUUCUUUCCCUCUCUGUAGAGUGUCCAGUCUCUCUGUGUCUCUCCUGGAUUUGAGGCCUUACCCAGCAUCACUGUCUAUCCACACAUCUCCUUUGAGCAUGUAAAGAAAUAAUUUUCUGAACUGAAACAUCAAAUACAGGAUGUAUGCAAAAAGGAACUGGACAGGAUAUCUGGGGAAGUGACUACAGUUCAGAUUGGACCACCUGCUGAGCCCAAGACCAGAGAGGAUUUCUUAACAUAUUCCUGCCAGCUGACAUUGGAUCCCAAUACAGCAAAUCAGUUCCUGUGUCUGUCUGAGGGGAACAGAAAGUUUGCUUGGAGUGAUGAGGUCCAGUCCUAUCCUGACCAUCCUGACAGAUUUACCUUCUAUAACCAGGUGUUGUGUAGAGAGGGUCUGUCUGGAGUCUGUUACUGGGAGGUAGAGUGGAGUGGGGAGUGGGUUGAUGUAGCCGUCUCAUAUAAAGAGAUCAGCAGGAAAGGAUGUGGUAAUGAGUGUAGGUUUGGUAAUAAUGAUCAGUCCUGGAUGUUAUUCUGUUCGACAUCCAUAUGUUGUUUUAUCCACAAUAAUACCAGGACUGAUAUCCAUGUCCCCUGCUCCUCCAGAGUAGGAGUGUAUCUGGACCACAGGGCAGGAACUCUGUCCUUCUACAGUGUCUCUGACACAAUGACCCUCCUCCACAGAGUCCAGACCACAUUCACUCAGCCACUCUAUCCUGGGUUCUGUGUUUAUAAAGGAACGUCUGUGAAGAUACUGACACCUAUUCAGUGAUCCUUCGAUCAGUCUGCUUCUAUCAAUGUAUAAAGAUUGAUUUAAGAUUACAGAUAUUAUUUAGAACAACAUGA